CAUGGAGUGUUUUCUUAAGUUUCCUUUUCUCUUUUAAUUAAUGGGAAACAGGAAAGAAAGUUCUUCGCCCCUUUUAGAGGAAUUAGACUAGGGGAUCCUUUGUCCCCUUAUCUUUUCAUUUUGUGUACGGAAUCUGAUUAGACACUUGAAUAAGUCCUCUUCUUGGUUUAAAAAUCAUGUUGAGCCUCUUCUAUUGCGGCUAGGAAUAUUGAAUCUAAUCAUUCAAUGGCUUGGAAAUGUGUUCUUGAUUCUCAUGAGCUUAUUUUUCAAUGUAUGCGCUGGAUAAUUGGAUCAGCAGGUGGAGUUUUCUCCAUAAGGUUGCUACUUGAUUCCAAUGCAAUUCCUAUCCCAAUCUUCUUGAUACAGCAAGAUUCUCCAAUCUCUCUGAAUGGAUCCUCUAUCCUUAUGAUAAGGAGUUGGCCUCAACUAUUGAAGAUUGUAUUUUGAUUUGCUGGCAAAUUUGGGGGGCGAGAAACAACUUAAUCUUCAACAACUCUCAUGCUUCCCCAAAUAAUAUCAUUCUUGCUGCGGCCUCAGUUGGUUCCAACUACAGAAAAAAUGAUCAACCUGCUGUAAAGUUAAGCUCUUCCUUGGACGUCUCUAUUUUGUGGAGACCUCCUCUGGUUGGUUUCUUUAAGCUCAAUUUUGAUAGUUCAGAUCAGGAUCGCAACAAAGCUGCUGCUGGUUUCAUUAUCAAGGAUUCUAAUGGUAGUCUGUUCCUUGCUAGUGCCCGAAAACUUGGUAUUUCUUCGGUUCCUGUUGCCGAAGGUAGUACUCUUAAAAAUAGUCUAAUCCAGGCGCUUCGUUAAAACAUCUCUAGAAUUCAAGUUGAGGGAGCGAGACUCGCUUCUCAUUAUCAACUGCAUAAACAAGUCUUUUUUCCCUUCCUGGAAGAUCAGAUCUUUGGUCUAUGACAUAAUCUAUCUUGCCUCGAAGUUCAAUAUCAUUUCUUUCUCUCAUGUCUUUCACGAGGCCAAUUUUGUUGCAGAUGCCAUCACUUCGAUGGGUCAUUCUCUCUCCAAUCCCAAAAUUUGGUUCAAUUUUAUUCCCACUGCGGCCUCGUCUGCCUUACACUUAGAUAUUGUUACCCUUGGUUGUCCAAGGGGUUUUGUGUUGUAAUU